GGGCGCAGCCUGAUGCAGCCAUGCCGCGUGUGUGAAGAAGGCCUUCGGGUUGUAAAGCACUUUCAGUCGUGAGGAAGGCGGCGUCGUUAAUAGCGGCGUUGUUUGACGUUAGCGACAGAAGAAGCACCGGCUAACUCCGUGCCAGCAGCCGCGGUAAUACGGAGGGUGCGAGCGUUAAUCGGAAUUACUGGGCGUAAAGCGCAUGCAGGUGGUUUGUUAAGUCAGAUGUGAAAGCCCGGGGCUCAACCUCGGAAUAGCAUUUGAAACUGGCAGACUAGAGUACUGUAGAGGGGGGUAGAAUUUCAGGUGUAGCGGUGAAAUGCGUAGAGAUCUGAAGGAAUAAAGAUUGUUUAUGCGGCCCCCUGGACAGAUACUGACACUCAGAUGCGAAAGCGUGGGGAGCAAACAGGAUUAGAUACAAAAGUUUAGUCCACGCCGUAAACGAUGUCUACUUGGAGGUUGUGGCCUUGAGCCGUGGCUUUCGGAGCUAACGCGUUAAGUAGACCGCCUGGGGAGUACGGUCGCAAGAUUAAAACUCAAAUGAAUUGACGGGG
rnacentral:rRNA from 1 species